CCCCUUCCAAUCGAAGGGAAGGACGCCUAUAUACGGCGUGUCAGCGCAAGCUGACUAUGGUGAUAAAUGGACGAUGUAAUAAACCUAUUGGACCCGGGGGCGGUACCCGGCGCCUCCACCACAACGCAAGAAGCAUUAAUAGCGAGUUGCGCUGCGGCGGGGGCGAAAUAGGAUCGACAAGGGUGUAAAGAUCGCUCUUUUGCUCGGCAUGAUACCACCGUUAUCGGGUCAAUUGAGUAGUUGCAAAUGACAACAAAGCUCAGGGUUACGCUCUCGCUGCCUAAUGGCGGUGCGGGAAACCCACUCUAAAGCCCUUAGGGUUAGCACCUUAAGGCGGGGUUCGGAGGCACCUGGCAACAGAAGCCUCCACU
rfam:Ochrobactrum pseudogrignonense strain K8 chromosome 1, complete sequence.